UGACUAGGAUCAGAUUGACACCAACGGCUC
rnacentral:piRNA from 1 species